UCCCGGAUCGUCUAAUGGCAGGACACAAGGUUUUGGUCCUUGGAAUCGGGGUUCGAAUCCCUGUCCGGGAG
rnacentral:tRNA from 1 species